rnacentral:rRNA from 1 species
AGAGUUUGAUCCUGGCUCAGGAUGAACGCUGGCGGUAUGCCUUAUACAUGCAAGUCGAACGGGAGUUUUUAACUCUAGUGGCGGACGGGUGAGUAACACGUAAGAAUUUGCCUUUAGGAGGGGGACAACAACUGGAAACGGUUGCUAAUACCCCAUAUGCUUUCGAGUAAAAUGGAUUUCCGCCUAAAGAGAAGCUCGCGGCUGAUUAGCUUGUUGGUAAGGUAAGAGCUUACCAAGGCGACGAUCAGUAUCUGGUUUGAGAGGACGAUCAGACACACUGGAACUGAGACACGGUCCAGACUCCUACGGGAGGCAGCAGUGGGGAAUUUUCCGCAAUGGGCGAAAGCCUGACGGAGCAAUACCGCGUGAGGGAAGACUGCCUAUGGGUUGUAAACCUCUUUUUUCAGGGAGGAAUAAAAUGACGUGUACCUGAAGAAUAAGCAUCGGCUAACUCCGUGCCAGCAGCCGCGGUAAG